CUUGCAUCAUGAUUUACAUUUGAGUGAGUGGCGAACUGGUGAGUAACACGUGGGAAACCUGCCCAGAAGCGGGGGAUAACACCUGGAAACAGAUGCUAAUACCGCAUAACAACUUGGACCGCAUGGUCCGAGUUUGAAAGAUGGCUUCGGCUAUCACUUUUGGAUGGUCCCGCGGCGUAUUAGCUAGAUGGUGGGGUAACGGCUCACCAUGGCAAUGAUACGUAGCCGACCUGAGAGGGUAAUCGGCCACAUUGGGACUGAGACACGGCCCAAACUCCUACGGGAGGCAGCAGUAGGGAAUCUUCCACAAUGGACGAAAGUCUGAUGGAGCAACGCCGCGUGAGUGAAGAAGGGUUUCGGCUCGUAAAACUCUGUUGUUAAAGAAGAACAUAUCUGAGAGUAACUGUUCAGGUAUUGACGGUAUUUAACCAGAAAGCCACGGCUAACUACGUGCCAGCAGCCGCGGUAAUACGUAGGUGGCAAGCGUUGUCCGGAUUUAUUGGGCGUAAAGCGAGCGCAGGCGGUUUUUUAAGUCUGAUGUGAAAGCCUUCGGCUCAACCGAAGAAGUGCAUCGGAAACUGGGAAACUUGAGUGCAGAAGAGGACAGUGGAACUCCAUGUGUAGCGGUGAAAUGCGUAGAUAUAUGGAAGAACACCAGUGGCGAAGGCGGCUGUCUGGUCUGUAACUGACGCUGAGGCUCGAAAGUAUGGGUAGCAAACAGGAUUAGAUACCCUGGUAGUCCAUACCGUAAACGAUGAAUGCUAAGUGUUGGAGGGUUUCCGCCCUUCAGUGCUGCAGCUAACGCAUUAAGCAUUCCGCCUGGGGAGUACGGCCGCAAGGCUGAAACUCAAAGGAAUUGACGGGGGCCCGCACAAGCGGUGGAGCAUGUGGUUUAAUUCGAAGCUACGCGAAGAACCUUACCAGGUCUUGACAUACUAUGCAAAUCUAAGAGAUUAGACGUUCCCUUCGGGGACAUGGAUACAGGUGGUGCAUGGUUGUCGUCAGCUCGUGUCGUGAGAUGUUGGGUUAAGUCCCGCAACGAGCGCAACCCUUAUUAUCAGUUGCCAGCAUUAAGUUGGGCACUCUGGUGAGACUGCCGGUGACAAACCGGAGGAAGGUGGGGAUGACGUCAAAUCAUCAUGCCCCUUAUGACCUGGGCUACACACGUGCUACAAUGGAUGGUACAACGAGUUGCGAACUCGCGAGAGUAAGCUAAUCUCUUAAAGCCAUUCUCAGUUCGGAUUGUAGGCUGCAACUCG
rnacentral:rRNA from 2 species